rnacentral:rRNA from 1 species
UACGGAGGAUCCAAGCGUUAUCCGGAUUUAUUGGGUUUAAAGGGUGCGUAGGCGGACUUAUAAGUCAGCGGUGAAAGUUUGCAGCUUAACUGUAAAAUUGCCGUUGAAACUGUUAGUCUUGAGUGUAAAUGAGGUAGGCGGAAUGUGUUGUGUAGCGGUGAAAUGCUUAGAUAUAACACAGAACACCAAUUGCGAAGGCAGCUUACUGGGAUACAACUGACGCUGAGGCACGAAAGCGUGGGGAUCAAACAGG